CAACAGACUUUCUAUUAAAAUGAACAGAAUAAUUUUUUCGGUGUAAAGGUAUUUUUAAAUUCGCUAACCGCUCACUGUUGGGCUUUAAAAAGGCGAAGAAUUCUUUUGGCCAGUGUGAACAGAAGCCUCAUAUUUUUCAUGGGAACAGUGUUCAGUAUUCUGAUCCAGUUUCUUGGCGUUACACAAACAACAAUUUACGUCAAACACCGAUGACAUUUCACGAUUUGAAAGGUGAUAGCCUUACACAAACUAUGUCAGGCCAACACAUGACGUGUCUCGCUUGAAAGCAUUGCGUUUUGCUACUUAACAACCUUCUUAGCGACAACACGGCGUAAGGUAUGUGUAAGUCAGUACAAGAAUGUUCUAGAACAGAAGCUGGGCGUGUAAGGUAAGUUAUUUGCAAAUACAUAACUCUGAUUCAACUACUACUACCACGAGUAACAAUGUGAAACGUUUCCUAAUUACGAAACAAUGUUCCAGAUAUGGGUGUCUAGCGGCAGUUUUUACAGUCAUCAAGGUGAAUGAACCAGGGCGAGUCCAUGUCGCCAAAGCUCUUCCGCCACUGAAGGAUCAUGCCGAAGACACAGGCUUGCAUCAUCCAGAUAUACAGAUUUUGCGAUUAUGCCCCCCAAAAGCCCGCUGAUUUGGACACGCAAGUGUACAUCGAUAUCCUCGGAUCCAAGGUAGGGUGCAUUUGUUAAAAGCUAGACGUGUUUUAUGACACCUUGUAUUUUAAAUGCCAGUUGAUAAUACGGCACAAGCUGUAAGCAAAUGCGCAGUCCACGCCUAUCCUGAAGUAUGGUGCAAUCGCAGUAAGGCGGGUAUCAUUUCGUUUUAUUUUUCCCGUGUUUUAUAUGAGGAAGUUAUAUAAAUAUACAUAUAUAUACAUAUACAUUCCCAAUACAAUGUAACAGAAGUAUGUAAUAUAUGGUAUAUGGAGUAUUGCCGGCAUGAACAUAAGUAUGUGUGUAUGUUCGUUGGGGUUCAACGUCGUACUAUUUUUCAGUCAUGAAGUGUGUAUAUAUAGUGUCUUCUUGUGGCAAGGGUCCGCUUCGGGAGCGGUAGAUUUA